AACAAAUGUCCACACAGUCAGGAAGCCCAAGGGCCCUCUGCCCUUUCCCCUCUGCCUUCCUGGAGCAUGAACCCACACAGGGCACACAGCAGCAAGGCAUCCCCGGGCAGUGCCGUGCCCACUCACCAGCUUCUUCCUGCGGUCAUCGAUCUGGCAGAAGUUCUCCUCAUCUAUCCCCAAACAUAGGCUUCCUUGAGGCACAGUCAUUCAGCCAACCAGCCAGCAUUCAUUGAGCACCAUCUAUGUCCUAGGCACUGCUAGGCGAUGGUGAUAACAAGGAGAAGACUCUGUCCCUGCCUUCCAAUUGUGUAGAGGAAGACAUCCCCCUACACGAUGGGUGAAACAUAGCAGAAGUGAGUAGGGGAUGAGGCGGGGGCUCAGAGGAGGGCAUGGUCAGCCUGUCUGGGAGGGAGUUGCAUGUGUGCAUCUGAGGUAGGGACAGGCAUGCAUCUUGCAGGAUGAAUAUCGAGCAGAGUCACAGAGAGGGGGAAACUCUUUGAGGUUUCAGGAAUCACCUAAUCCACUGUGACUCACAAGUUCCUGCCUCUUGGCUUUGCCUGCAGCAUAUCUCCUGGAGGUGUGCUGGGGCAAAACUCAUCCCAGACCACCAUCUCCGUCCUCCCCAGUACACCCUGGCCCUCCCUGGCUACCCUUGAGCACGGUGCACGUGUGCAUGGGUGCAUGCCUGCAUAGAUAGCUAUCCCCCAUGUAUUUCCCAAAGUCCUACAUAAUGCUUCAGUUUGCUAAGGAAAAAAUGUUAAUUAUUGCAAAUGUGUUUAAAACUGUAAAAGUACAUUAAACAAACUCUGUAAAGUGUGAAA
rnacentral:antisense_RNA from 1 species